UACGGGGGGGGCAAGCGUUGUUCGGAAUUACUGGGCGUAAAGGGCUCGUAGGCGGCCAACUAAGUCAGACGUGAAAUCCCUCGGCUUAACCGGGGAACUGCGUCUGAUACUGGAUGGCUCGAGUUUGGGAGAGGGAUGCGGAAUUCCAGGUGUAGCGGUGAAAUGCGUAGAUAUCUGGAGGAAUACCGAAGGCGAAGGCAGCUUCCUGGCCCAAAUCUGACGCUGAGGUGCGAAAGCGUGGGUAGCGAACGGG
rnacentral:rRNA from 1 species